UACGUAGGGGGCAAGCGUUGUCCGGAUUUAUUGGGCGUAAAGAGCGUGUAGGCGGCUUGGUAGGUCCGCUGUGAAAACUCGAGGCUCAACCUCGAGAUGUCGGCGGAAACCACUUGGCUAGAGUCCGGAAGAGGAGAGUGGAAUUCCUGGUGUAGCGGUGAAAUGCGCAGAUAUCAGGAAGAACACCUAUGGCGAAGGCAGCCCUCUGGGACGGUACUGACGCUGAGACGCGAAAGCGUGGGGAGCGAACAGG
rnacentral:rRNA from 1 species